ACCGAUAUCAUUUAUGUUUUCCAAGUUGACCGAUGCGGUUUUUGUUUCGUUGCGUCAUUUCGUUAUUUAUGAUAAUGUGCGAAGAGCAUAAUGAAAUUCGUGAGUUUCGAGAUCUCUUCGGGAAUGAAUGGAGAAAAAAAUCAAUCCUAAUCGGAACCUCAUUAUAAUUCUCGAGAAUGCACGAUAGGAAAAAAGCAUUCCUCUGGACUUCUAUAUGAUCACUUCCACAAAAAAAAAACUUUCUGUUGGAAAGACAACAAUUUCAACGAACUGAUACCGAUUAUUGGACAGUUCUAUCACAUUAAUUUUUGUUGAAUAAAUAUACUGGCCGAAGGACCAAGACUGUCCGACGAAAAUGGAUACCUUUUGAUUGACGUGGACGUUGAACCAUCUAGAGGACACAUUUAUUGCUUGAGGUAGAACAAUACAAAAAUCCCAUUCUAUACAAACAUCUGAUCAAUUUAAGGCCCCUCGAUUUACCUUAUUGCGCAUUAUUGAAUUCAAAGAGUUAGUUACUAUAUACGAGCUAGGUCAAGUUUUGACAGUCUAAUUGUCUACUCGCUUGUCAGUAAUGGCAGAUAGCAGAAUAUUCAAGUCAUUUUGUAUCAUUUAGAGUAAAAGAAGAAAAGCAAAUGUUUCAUAUAAUUAAUAUUGAUCAGUUCGAUGAACCUCCAAUUUAAACACAACACAAACAGUUAUUUUCGAAUGAAGAAAAAGUUCAAAUAAACAUUGUAUGUAUCAUGCUUAUGUAAAUGAAUAAAAUGUAUUGGAAUCGAACGUUUAAUACUAAAAUAAAAAAGAAAAUGAAAAACUGUUAAUAU